AGCUCCAAUAGCGUAUACUAAAGUUGUUGCGGUUAAAAAGCUCGUAGUUGGAUCUUGGAGCGUGUUCUUGCGGUCAUACUUAUUGUUUGUACUGCUUGACGCGUUCUUCUAUUUGGUUGCGUGUGCAAGUUCUCUUAGUUGAGUGCUGUACUCGACCGAAACGUUUACCUUGAAAAAAUUAGAGUGUUCAAAGCAGACCUGUUUGUGUCUGAAUAUUCGUGCAUGGAAUAAUGAAAUAUGAAUUCGGUUCUAUUUUGUUGGUUUUCGGAACUCGAGUUAAUGAUUAAGAGGGACAGACGGGGGUAUUAGUACUCUGCCGUUAGAGGUGAAAUUCUUGGAUCGGCGGAAGACUCGCAACUGCGAAAGCAUUUGCCAAGAAUGUUUUCU
rnacentral:rRNA from 1 species